UACAGAGGGGGCAAGCGUUAUUCGGAAUUAUUGGGCGUAAAGGGCGCGUAGGCGGCCUGGCAAGUGACGGGUGAAACCCCUCGGCUUAACCGAGGAACUGCCUGUCAGACUGUUAGGCUUGAGACCGGGAGAGGUGAGUGGAAUUCCCAGUGUAGCGGUGAAAUGCGUAGAUAUUGGGAGGAACACCAGUGGCGAAGGCGGCUCACUGGACCGGUACUGACGCUGAGGCACGAAAGCGUGGGGAGCAAACAGG
rnacentral:rRNA from 1 species